GGCAGGGUAGCUCAGUUGGUUAGAGCAUUGUCCUGAUAAGCCAAAGUUUCACGUUAAUUCCCCUCCCC
rnacentral:tRNA from 1 species